GCUGGUCACCUCCUUGCUUUGCCUUCCGAUGGGGCUCCUGAGGCUGAGGAGUGAAGAUGCCGCAGAGCCGGGCCACCCUAGGCUUCGUCGGGUGUGUUCUGGAAGCUGGCCUGCUGGGACCCUCCACCCUGGGGCCUGUGUCAGCCACCGGUCCUCUGCACCCUGGAAGCACACGGGCUCUGGGAAAGACAGCCCUGACCUUCGGUGUUCCAAGUCACUGUGUUCCCCAAGAAUUCUGGGCUGGCGGCCUGAUGGCCGUGCUGGAGAAGACCCUGAGCCUUUCCCCGUGGGGCACCCAGGAGGGCCUGGCCAGUAUGUGCAGCCUGUGGGUGGCCGGCUGACGUCCCUGCCGUGCUCAGGGUGUGUCACCUGGUGCCCAUCCAUACAGGUGUGUGGUGUAACAUGUAUGUGCUGUACAGACGUGUGGAGAGAGCCGCGCACCAGGGCCACGGAGAGGCGGAGCAGUUACCAAUGUUUCGUGUUUAUUUUUAAUCAAGACGUUUCCCGUUUUCCUAUAAAUUUGCUUAGUGUAAGCAAGUACAUAAGGACCCUCCUUUGGUGAAAUCCGGGUUCGAAUGAAUAUCUCAAGGCAGGAGAUGCAUCUAUUUUAAGAUGCUUUGGAGCAGACAGCUUUAGCCGUUCCCAAUCCUUAGCAAUGCCUUAGCUGGGACGCAUAGCUAAUACUUUAGAGAGGAUGACGGAUACAUAAGAGAGUAAAGAUAAGAGAAAAUGUCUAAAGCAUCUGGAAAGGUAAAAAAAAAAAUCUAUUUUU